UGGACCUUCACUUCUUCGUGUUUAGGUUGUAAAUUGUAAAUGUCAAUCUAAUAUCUAAAAAAAUAAUUUACCUCAAUCAGCUGUGAUUUGUUAUUAUGUAACUAAUUUUUCUAAACACUAUUCAUAUCGAGUAAAAAACUUUUCUAAUACCUACCAGUCUGUUAUAACUGGACAUAAAUAAAGCUGUUUAUCUACACUUUCGGGGAUUUAUUUUUUGGGAAAACUUGUUGAAAUCUCAUUGAACUCCGUAUCUCUGAAGUAAUAAUGAAAUAUGAUUACAAACAUAACCGAAACCUUUGUGUUUAUUUAAUAAAAAUAACAAUAAAAACAAAUUAGUUUUAUGUUGUAUAAAGUCUUAUUUAGUAUUGAAGCUUCUCUUACUGCUAUUAUUGGUAAAAAAUAUAUAUGAAAUAGAGAAGGUAUUCGGUAUAAAUAUAUUCAUAAAAAACAACUAUAUACAACAUUUAUAUGAGAAAGAUUAAAUAAAGAAAAUGAUGAACUAA